UACGAAGGGGGCUAGCGUUGUUCGGAAUUACUGGGCGUAAAGCGAGCGUAGGUUGCUCGAUAAGUCAGUGGUGAAAGCCCAGAGCUCAACUCUGGAACUGCCAUUGAAACUAUCGAGCUGGAAUCUCAGAGGGGGUAGCGGAAUUCCAAAUGUAGGGGUGAAAUCCGUAGAUAUUUGGAGGAACACCGGUGGCGAAGGCGGCUACCUGGAUGAGUAUUGACACUGAGGCUCGAAAGCGUGGGGAUCAAACAGGAUUAGAUACCCUGGUAGUCCACGCUGUAAACGAUGACUGCUAGUUGUUGGGGGGUUCCCUCUCAGUGACGAAGCUAACGCAUUAAGCAGUCCGCCUGGGGAGUACGGUCGCAAGAUUA
rnacentral:rRNA from 1 species